rnacentral:tRNA from 1 species
GGGCGGCUGGCCUAUUGGUAAGGCGUCUGAUUUCGGCUUAGAAGACUGCAGGUUCCUGCGUCGCUCA